rnacentral:rRNA from 1 species
UACGAAGGGGGCUAGCGUUGCUCGGAAUCACUGGGCGUAAAGGGUGCGUAGGCGGGUCUUUAAGUCAGGGGUGAAAUCCUGGAGCUCAACUCCAGAACUGCCUUUGAUACUGGAGAUCUUGAGUUCCGGGAGAGGUGAGUGGAACUGCGAGUGUAGAGGUGAAAUUCGUAGAUAUUCGCAAGAACACCAGUGGCGAAGGCGGCUCACUGGCCCGGUACUGACGCUGAGGUGCGAAAGCGUGGGGAGUAAACAGG